rnacentral:rRNA from 1 species
UACGUAGGGGGCAAGCGUUGUCCGGAUUUAUUGGGCGUAAAGAGCGUGUAGGCGGCCAGAAAAGUCCGCUGUGAAAACUCGAGGCUCAACUUCGAGCUGUCGGUGGAAACUUUCUGGCUAGAGUCCGGAAGAGGAGAAUGGAAUUCCUGGUGUAGCGGUGAAAUGCGUAGAGAUCAGGAAGAACACCAGUGGCGAAGGCGCUCUGCUAGGCCGUAACUGACACUGAGGGACGAAAGCUAGGGGAGCGAAUGGG